rnacentral:lncRNA from 1 species
UCCACGUUGCCACAUAACGGCGGGAACGGCUUUCCGAAAGAUUUAACCCUGUAGGGGUGCUCCAACUAGUCCAUCACAAAUUACCACAAGUCGCAUAGAAAUCCUCAAUCACGAAGCUCGCGAUCUCGUCGGAUUCACUAGUGGAAAACCUCAACUCUGAGAUUACCCAAAGCAUCACCGGAAUCCCGAUGCACAAGAUAUCUCGUCAAAGGUAAAACUAAUCCAGCAAGGC